AUCUCAGGGAGAAAAGCUAGCUUAUGACUCUCUCCCCAGGCUCCUCCCCGUGUCAGACUGAGGCAAUUAAUUCCACAGCAAGGAAGGUGGAAGAAAUAAGGAAGAUGCCUAGAAUGGUUGUGAGUGUGGAAGGAGCAGGGACCCCAACUCGAUGGCACUCCAGUGCCCAGUAAAUAUUCGACUCCCAUCCAUCCACGUGGAUGCUCCCACACCAUCCGUUAGAGAGCUCCAUAGAGCUUAUGCGUUCCACAGUUUGCUGCCCGUGAUGGAGGUUUAAGGUUGCUGAUGCAAGAAUCCAUCCUUUGACAAGUGAUAAGGAAGUCCUGAAAGUUGGCUCUUCUGUUGGCUGGAGAGGCCACCUCCUCCCAUCCAGAAAGUUCAUUUAGUUUCAAGAAAAGCCACCUGUUCACUCCCAGAUGUUGCUAAGGGCGCACAAAGGAUCUGCAGAGGCAUUAAUUCUCACAACCACCGUUAAUGCUGUAUCUUUCCUAACAGACAAGUGGAGCAUUUUAAACUGCCCGAAAUUGGGACUGUUUCCAAAGGCUUUGUUGGUGCUGGGCAGAGCUCUAAUCACCCCUGACACUGCCAUCUGAAUACCGCACCUCCAGCUGUUCCUGUGGCAACAAGCUGCCUUGUGUAACUAAUCAAGUGAUAAGGCUAGAAGAAGGGGACCACACGGAACACCAAUGAGUUACACCAGCUGCCGCUCUGUAACAGACAUUAGACUGCAGAGGUUAAGCUUCCAUCUGAGGAUUGCAAGGGGAUUUUGGCAAAAAUUUCUCACUGCUGUAAACUCCACCAAUGGCAAGACUAAGGUCCAGAUUCUCAAAGAUUGGGACAGAAGUAAUUUAAGACACUCAGGAAAUCUCACUGAAACUAACUUGCUUCAUAUGGACCUGUAUUAAAGGCAUGAAAUCUCUCAGCAGGAAAGACGGAGGAGGAGAAUGGAAGGAUGGAAGAAGCGCUGGAAGAACCAACUGUUGGACUUGAAGACAUUACUGCAACAUGAAAAAAAAAGGUGAUCGUCUUCAGCAAUGGAAUUGAUAAGAGGCGAGAUGCGGAAAUUGAAGCACAGAGAAAGUCAGUAGUAGAGCCAGAAGUGGGGUCUAACUCCUAGACCUCUCCUCUCUAACCCUUUGUCGCUCAUUCAUAGCUCAAGAUUAAAGUGAAACUCUGCAGGAACACUGUCUCAAUUUAGGUCCCAGUUACUGCUAAUUCUAUUCAUUUAUUGUUUUCAUGGGGAUUAAGUGACUUUAAAUGUAUCUUUUACAAGUAAUUCAGCAUGGAUUAUGUGAUGAUAUCAGUGGAGCUGCAGCUUGGC